rnacentral:lncRNA from 1 species
UACAGGAAAUGUGCUCUUCCGAUCCUGAUUCCCUCCAGCAUUCAUGAGGCCACCCCAGCCUGCAUCUCUGAGCUUCAUCAGCAUACUGCAGAUAGUGAUCUUCAGGCCUUGUGGAAUGUCUCAAGAUUCAAGGCAUCCUGUGCUGUAAAGGAAACAAGAAAACGAAGCAAGAGCACACACACAGAGUGCUUUUACAAACUUUGGGAUUUAGUGCAUUUUUGAGGUCUAUUUGUCCCAGAACAGAAUGCUCAGGGACUGUGGAUAAUGCUAAUGGAGAGAAUAGAAUAGUAUGAAGAGCUUGGGUCAUGAAAAGGAUCAUGAAAAGGAGGCUUUGAAGACUUUCAGAAAUAUUUUCCCAUUACUCAUCUUUUAAACUGGAUCCUGGGAACCUAGACCAUGGUAUAUGGAGCCUUGGGAAGUCUUGAACAUCAUGGUAUGACCAGUGGACCUUUCUACUGGGAUCUAAGACUGAGCCCAUUCAGUGUUUUGAGUUGAACUCUUUGCAACUAGUUGAAAGGGUUUUGAGACUGAGAUGGGCAAAUACUAGCCCAAAGAGACGAAUCAGGGCCUGGCUCCCUUACACACUGCUCCUUUUCUUUAAUUUGUUUUGCCCUUCUCUCUCUCUCCUCCUCAUGUCUCCUCUCUUCCUAUUCUAGUGCAUAUUUUUUUGUUACUUCUCUUUUUCACUUUUUCACAUCUUGCCUCAAACAGGGCAUUUCUUGGGCAAAGUUUGACUCCAGUGGUUGACUUCAGAUCUAAGCAACUUCUAGAGUUUGUUCUAGGGAAGAGCAGAACAGACUAACAUGGGGAAGAGGAGCUGGACUACAAGCUGUAGGUGGAGGGGGAGAAGUAAGAGGGAAGAGGACACGAAAUGUGAGGUGUGAAGGUGCCAUAUGCAUCCUAUCCUUGAACCUCGUGGGCUUCAUCCCAUAGGAGAUGAUUUGGGUUGACUCUGGUUGGAAGAUGAGAUUGCCUACGCAACAUUCCUCCCACUGCAGUUCCCGCUUCCACUUUCCUGGCUGGCAGAGACCUCCUUCCACUGUAGAGGCUAAAUGUGGCAGAGGUUCAUUUUGCCACUUCUCUUGCAGCCACGGUAGUAAUCUUAGAUAACAGGUAAGAAGGAAUCUCUGCUGAGGAUUUUGGGGGUAGAAAUUUUCUUUCCUUUGUAAAGAGAGAAGCAUGGAAGGAAAGACCUCGCUUCUUUGUUUCUGGAUUUGGUUGUGCCUGCGUAUGACAUCUGGAACAGCUGCAGCAACCUUGCUACCGUGAAGGAAUCAUGACUGAACACUCCAAGGAUGGCAGGGCAAAACCAUGCAAAGGUCUGGGUCCUUGAGACCAUUGAGCUGCCCAUCAAGUCAGAAGCAUCUCAUGUAAUUGGCCUUAUUGUUUAAGCCAUUUUUAGUUGGAGUUUCUGCUGCUUGUAGCUGAAAGCAUUUUUGGUGGGAACCAGCAAGUACAACCUCAUGCUUGGGCUUUAUU